GGGUUUUGACACUGGAUACACUGCAAUCAAGAUACAACCACUUCCCUCCUGCCUUAGGCAGUAAAUGUUCCUGCCCUGUCACCAUGGCUCCAGUAUUAUUUUCAGGAAAUCCAAGUUUUCAUCUAGUAGCACUGUUCUUCCAUCUGCAGGAUGUAGACUAUAGGCUUCAGGUGUGGCUACAUGCUUCAGUCUUCCACCAGAGCAAGCCAUCAAGAGAGAAGACAAGAGAACAUUUACGGCCCUCUUUCCCCUUGUCACAAC